GUUAUAGCUCGGUUGGUAGAGCAUGAGACUCUUAAUCUCAGGAUCAUGAUCAUGGGUUCAAAUCCCAUGUGGGGUGAAAUA